AUUGGCCUCGGAUCAGGUGGGGAUACCCGCUGAACUUAAGCAUAUCAAUAAGCGGAGGAAAAGAAACCAACAGGGAUUGCCUCAGUAACGGCGAGUGAAGCGGCAACAGCUCAAAUUUGAAAUCUGGGGCCUUCGGCUCCCGAGUUGUAAUUUGUAGAGGAUGCCUCGGGGGGUGCUUCGGCCCAAGUUCCUUGGAACAGGAUACCACAGAGGGUGAGAGUCCCGUAUCCGGCCGGCAGUGCCCUCCGCGCGAGGCUCCUUCGACGAGUCGAGUUGUUUGGGAAUGCAGCUCUAAGCGGGUGGUAAAUUCCAUCUAAAGCUAAAUACUGGCCAGAGACCGAUAGCGAACAAGUAGAGUGAUCGAAAGAUGAAAAGCACUUUGAAAAGAGAGUCAAACAGUACGUGAAAUUGUUGAAAGGGAAGCGUAUGGGGGCAGACUUGGCCGCGGGGUUCAGGGUGUCUUUUGGCGCCUGUACUUCCCCGUGGGCAGGCCAGCAUCGGUUUUGGGGGUUGGAUAAAGGCGUCGGGAAUGUGGCUCCCCUCGRGGAGUGUUAUAGCCCGUCGCGCAAUGCAGCCACCCGGGAUCGAGGACCGCGCUUCGGCAAGGAUGCUGGCGUAAUGGCCUCAUACGGCCCGUCUUGAAACACGGACC
rnacentral:rRNA from 2 species